rnacentral:tRNA from 3 species
GGAUGGAUGUCUGAGCGGUUGAAAGAGUCGGUCUUGAAAACCGAAGUAUUGAUAGGGAUACCGGGGGUUCGAAUCCCUCUCCAUCCG